rnacentral:rRNA from 1 species
UCUGCCUGGUAGUGGGGGAUAACGUCCGGAAACGGACGCUAAUACCGCAUACGUCCUACGGGAGAAAGCAGGGGACCUUCGGGCCUUGCGCUAUCAGAUGAGCCUAGGUCGGAUUAGCUAGUUGGUGGGGUAAUGGCUCACCAAGGCGACGAUCCGUAACUGGUCUGAGAGGAUGAUCAGUCACACUGGAACUGAGACACGGUCCAGACUCCUACGGGAGGCAGCAGUGGGGAAUAUUGGACAAUGGGCGAAAGCCUGAUCCAGCCAUGCCGCGUGUGUGAAGAAGGUCUUCGGAUUGUAAAGCACUUUAAGUUGGGAGGAAGGGCAGUAAAUUAAUACUUUGCUGUUUUGACGUUACCGACAGAAUAAGCACCGGCUAACUCUGUGCCAGCAGCCGCGGUAAUACAGAGGGUGCAAGCGUUAAUCGGAAUUACUGGGCGUAAAGCGCGCGUAGGUGGUUCGUUAAGUUGGAUGUGAAAUCCCCGGGCUCAACCUGGGAACUGCAUUCAAAACUGACGAGCUAGAGUAUGGUAGAGGGUGGUGGAAUUUCCUGUGUAGCGGUGAAAUGCGUAGAUAUAGGAAGGAACACCAGUGGCGAAGCGACCACCUGGACUGAUACUGACACUGAGGUGCGAAAGCGUGGGGAGCAAAC